rnacentral:lncRNA from 1 species
GUAAGUAAAGCAAUGAGCGCUCCCCCGUCCCCACUAACUUUUGUUUUUUGUUUUCUGGAGGUUAUUUUGGUGAGGAAGAUUGGCCCUGAGCUAACAUCUGUUCCCAAUCUUCCUCUGUUUGCUUGAGGAGGAUUGUUGCUGAGCUAACAUCUGUGCCAAUUCUUGUCUAUUUUGUAUGUGGGAUGCUGCCACAGCAUGGCUUGAUGAGCAAUGCAUAGGUCUGCACCUGGGGUCCAAACCCAUGAACCUCAGGCUGCCGAAGCAGAGUGCACAAACUUAACCACUAUGCCACCAAGCCUGCCCCCACCACCAAUGUUUAAAAUCAGAUACCAUGGGAAGAAAUUACUCAUGUUUUGAGGAGCUUAAAAUCUGAGAGUGGUGGGAGGAGACAAAUGUACCUAUACUCACAAAUGGCUUCUGCAGGUCAGUUUCAUGAGAUUGCAGAUGAAGCAACAAGGAGAUCACGACAGCUCUAGGUCCCCAGGGCCUUUCCUGAGAGUCAGAAGGAGGCCUCGGAUCUGGGGAGAAAAUCUUCGGGCUCAUUAAACCUCACAGUUUGUUCUACCUGGACCUCAUCUGCCCAGCUACAGGAGCUUCCAUGGCCCAGCAGUUUCCACCGAAUAGUUCAGGAGCCAGUGUUCACUCUUUGCAAUGGUGAGCCUCCAGUGAUUUCAGCUGUCAAGUGUUGCUGAUCCCCAGAUUCCUACGAAGGAGAUAGGCAAAGCUUGUAGUCUUCCCUUCCGAAUUUAAUUUAAGCUGCAUGUGUAAUAGAGGAAAUUUGCAGUGUGGCAAAGGGGGCAAGUAAACCAAACAUUGCAAAGCAGUGGGCUAUCUUUCAAUGGGAUUCUGCUGGAAGUCCUUCAGGAACAGUGAGCAAGGAGCAACUAACUCCACCUGAGGCCAAGAACAGGGGAAGGAUGUGCAGAUCAUGGUGGAAAGAUGCAUCACUCGUAUGGAUAGCAGCAACUAAGAAGAAUGAAUAAGUCAGUCAAAUAUGAAGUGCAAAGCAAUUUCAUUCCUUAAAAAACUACAAGAUAGAACAAAGCAUCCACAUCUUUUGCCAGCUGUCUUUGGAAAACUGCUCUGUUUGCUCAUGCGCAGAAAAAAGCCAAGCCUGCGACGGUAUUGACAAGAGCAAGAUGAAUGACCCCCUGGAGACCAUAGGGUGUCAAAGCCAAGAGAGACAAAGCACAAGCUAUUUAUACUUUAUCAAGUCUCAAGAUAAUGGAAAAUAUUUUAUCCCACUUAGAUCUACAGAAGAGUGGAGGAGGAGUGCAGUGACCUUCA